ACCACACAUUAACCCUAUCCCGAACCACGCUUUCUUUCCGGCGAUGGCGCCGCCGUUCUCUUCUCCGUGCACCGCCGUCUGCUCCGCGGCCGCUCCAUCUCCUCCUCCCCUGCCUCACCUUAUCCCUUCCUCCUCCCACUUUCUCUGCCUUUCUGUGCUCCCGUGCUCCUCGUGCCUCUUCCCCACUCCCGCACCCAGAUGCGACCGCCUAGGUUUUGCUUCGGCCGGAGAUGGCUACCAUGGAGGUCGCCCCCUGCAGAUCUAGCGGCCCAGUCCUCUACCACAUGUGGUAGUCAAGGAGGAUGCAGCACCGUCACCAGGCUGGUGCUGGGUGCGCUUUGGCCUUCCUUCUAGCCGGUGUGUACCUUGCUCAUGGGGUAGCGCCGAGCGACGGCAGUGACUACAAGAUGCAGCAGAAGUGGCGCAUGGCCAAGGAUCCAGGCCUCCGACCAUUAGCGGUUGUUGUUGUGGCAGAAGCGGCGGUACAGAGUUCGUGCCUCCGCCCUGUUCAGCCUUGCCUCCAUCAACUCUGGAAUCCCCUGAUUCUUCCUCCAGGCAGCGGCGCAGUUUGUUGGCUUGCUCAUCAAUUGUGAUACCCCAUGGCCCCUGUCCGCACCUGCUGGUGAGUUCUUCCCGAAUGCUGCUGUGUAUUCCUUUGGUUGUUACUUAUUGCAUGAGAAAAUAGGUUCCAUGCUUUUUCUUUCCCAUUUGAACCAUGCGAAGACCCAUUUCCAGUACUUCCAUUAAUUCCAUGCAUCCUCUGGUUCUGCUAUUAUUCUAUUAGGAUUUUAUUGUUGAUUCAAACAUGCUAGUUAUUUAGCCUUUUUCUGAGACAUUUGUAGCUAUUCUGAGGGUGCUCCUUCAGUAAAUAUAUUCUUAUCUCUACCAUAUCAGGGGCACUUAGACACGAAAGGAUAUGUUUCAGAUAUGAAGGUAUAAAAAUAUAUAAAGCAUCAUCAAGCAAUGGAGGAAGCUAGAUCCCAAAAUCAACAAAAAGAAAUGUAGAACUUAAUUAGUUCCUGGAGCAUAUACCUAGAUGAUCAUAGAUCAUGCAGGUUCAUAACAUGGAAACACUCUUAGAAAGGUGGUUUAUAUGGAUGUUGUCCUCUGUUUGUCUAACCAAAAGCACGGCGAGUGUUACUACAAUGUACUCCCUCCGUUUCUAAAUAUAAGACCUUUUAGGCCCCGUUCGGGUUGGAGGGAGAGAAAACUACGGGACUCAUUGAAGGCACAGGAUUGCUGUGGUAAAACCAAGGAGUGAAAAAUGGAGGAUAGAAGCAAAAGGAUGGUGUCCGGAUCAGAGGGGCGAGAACCAUAGGAAACUGGUGCUUGGGCUGAUUAAAAAAUAGAACAAAUGUGUUUUGUCGUACAUGCCACAUGCAAAGAAACAUUGUUUAUUAAUUGAGCUUUUCUCUUGCCUCAAGCCUACACGAGAAAAAAAGAGAUUGAGGCAGAUGUUUCUUUUCCUCUGGAAUCAUGGGUAUAGGCCCACCUUUCCUUAGAAGUACUGUUCCCAUUUCCUGCCUUCCGAACGCAUCGACGGAGAGAAAAACUACAGGAGCUUGAUUCCUUUGCUUUUUCAUGUAAACCGAACGGAGCCUUAGAGGUUUCAAUACGGACUACAUACGGAUGUAUAUAGACGCAUUUUAGAGUGUAGAUUAACUCAUUUUGCUUCAUAUAUAGUUUGUAUUGGAAUCUCUAAAAAGGCUUAUAUUAUUUAGGAACAAAGGGAGUAGUAGUUAUACUGUCGUUCACAGGAUAGUCAAGUGAUUAUUUUUCGCUUCUGCCUCACAUGGUUGUUGGUUGGAAAAAAAGUUAUAUCUUUUGUGCUACAUUCGUUUUUCUCAAUUCCCAUGAAAUUUCUAACUGGACUGUCUCAGCCGUUGUUGUGUAUAUUUGUUUCCUUCUAAAAAAAGAGGGGUUUUAUGCAACCCUUCGUAGACACCACUGCGGAUCUCGAGUGGCGAAAUGUUCUUUCUUGAACCUUCCAGUGGCGAGAUGUUAUUACUUAGGUUCAUGAAAUGGGAAAAAAAUCAUGAGCUUAAUUUUCUAGAGUACUGUAUCAAUAACCUAGGUAAAUAAGUUCUCCUUUGUUAGGUCCUUCCAGUUAUGUACUUUUGCUGCCACUAAUCGUGAACUAUAUUCAGCAUUGAGCAUUCUAAUUAUUCUUCUGCAUUGUUCUCUACAUCAACAACUGCUGUAGUGCAGGCUGAAGCGAUGGCAUGUAUGAUUGAUGUAGUUUCAUCUCAAUAAGAACUAUUUGGUGUAUAGUAUGUUGGUCCCAGCCUACUUGUUGUAACUCCUGAUUUUGAUGGAUUUUGUUCACGGCUUUGAUUAUACAAUGUAGAAUUUGUACCGUUUUGAGCCAAAUUCAACAGAGUAUAUCAUCCAAUGCUAACGGUUUCAAUUAUCAUGGUAUAUUCAAGUCAAAGCUAAAUACUAGUCUGUGCCCGCCUAGCUUGGUAAAGAUUGCAGGUUAAUCUACUUUGGUGCUGUAGGUUCUUUUCUUCUUACUCUUAUUCUUUAGAUUUUAUUUGUUAUUCCUAUUUCCAUUUAGGGCGAAAAAAGCUGGGAACUGUUUGGACAAAUUUACCUUUUAAGUGUUCUCCCUUCGUGCCCAAAACAAUGUUAGGUGGGCUAAGAUAAUACUUUUAGGCGUUCAGAAAGAGUCACAUCUAUAAUUAGCUUUCAGCUUGCUGUAUCCAGUGUGAACUACUGGAAAUAUGUACAUCUACUGAAAGAGUCAUAAUUAUAUAUUUUUAGCUUUUAGCUCAUUGUAUCCAAUAUCUGUGAAGUUGUAUGUUUAUUGUUUUGGAAAUAAGUGUGGAAUAUUGGCUGCUGGUACCUAUGUACAGUAACUUAAGUAUAUCGCCAGGAACACUUUAUGCUUAGCAAUCGUACAAAGUAAAUGACGCAUUUCCUUUCAAUGGAUAGACAAAAAGUGGACAUGGGGCUUCCAUGCCACAUCCAUGGCUACUGCUGGAAGUUGAUUGGCGGUCUUCAUGUCCCAAAAUGCUAGUUUUAUAGAUUAUGAAGCAACCAUAAGGACUGGACUCAGAAAGAACCAUGAAGCCAACGGUCCAAGUCAAAUAGAUGUUUGAGCUUUCAUUUUGUACAACUGAUGCCUCAUACUUGCAUCUGAUGUAUGGUGUAUGGUGUAUGGUGUCUUGGUGGGUAUAUUUAGAAUAGACUGAAGUGUAUGUAUGUGACAAAUAGUUAAUGAAAUAAAAAAUAUUUGGUGCACCUGAAAUAUGGUGUCUUGGUGAU